AAAUUGAAGAGUUUGAUCAUGGCUCAGAUUGAACGCUGGCGGCAGGCCUAACACAUGCAAGUCGAACGGUAACAGGAAACAGCUUGCUGUUUCGCUGACGAGUGGCGGACGGGUGAGUAAUGUCUGGGAAACUGCCUGAUGGAGGGGGAUAACUACUGGAAACGGUAGCUAAUACCGCAUAACGUCGCAAGACCAAAGAGGGGGACCCUCGGGCCUCUUGCCAUCGGAUGUGCCCAGAUGGGAUUAGCUUGUUGGUGGGGUAACG
rnacentral:rRNA from 1 species